GGAUUUCUAGAGCACUUGAUGUAUUAUUUUAAAAGGGGAGGAGGUAGGGAGGGGUAGAAAACAAAAGGUUUGGAUGAACAACCACAUUGAAAACAGAAAUGCAAACCAGGAACGGAGUAAACCUAAGGCCUCUGACCGGGCUAUUACCCUCGAAACCCACACACUCUCAUAUCCCUUCCCUCAAGAACAUAGCCAUGUAUGCAUGUGCUUUCAUAAGGAAAUAAAAAAGGAGCUGGAGGGCAAUGGAGGGACAGAGAGCAUCAUCAGCGCCAAGCUUUCCUUCAAUUCCAUUGGAUCCUAGGAGUCCCUGAAUCUCUCCGAUCCACCUACUUGUCUCAACCACGACCCUUACCCUGCCUUCUGCCCCGUAGAAUGCAAGUAAAGAAAUGUACGAACA